GGAUCAUGUGUUCUGAUUGGAGCGCGUUCCAUCGUGUUUCUCAUCAUUUGGAAUGUUGGAUAUGCCACAUUAAUUAAUGAGGCGUGAUCCAACGCUCCUGGUUUUUUCUGAUUUUAAUUCUUUUUCUUUUAUUAUUUUAAAUUUCUUUUUCUUUAAAAAUUCGUAGUAAUUUCAUUUUUUAUCCAAAAAUUUCCAAAAUAAUUUCUAAAAUUCUAUUUUAUUAUUUUUCAUCUGAUUUUUAUUUUUC
rnacentral:lncRNA from 1 species